UGGUGGUAGCUCAGCAUUGGUUCAGG
rnacentral:misc_RNA from 1 species